CAGCAGCCGCGGUAAUACAGGGGGGGCAAGCGUUGUUCGGAAUUACUGGGCGUAAAGGGCUCGUAGGUGGCCAACUAAGUCAGACGUGAAAUCCCUCAGCUUAACUGGGGAACUGCGUCUGAUACUGGAUGGCUUGAGUUUGGGAGAGGGAUGCGGAAUUCCAGGUGUAGCGGUGAAAUGCGUAGAUAUCUGGAGGAACACCGGUGGCGAAGGCGGCAUCCUGGACCAACACUGACACUGAGGAGCGAAAGCCAGGGGAGCAAACGGGAUUAGA
rnacentral:rRNA from 1 species